GUGGAAACAAGGAAGUUCAGUUGGUUAGAGCGUCAGAUUGUGGUUCUGAAUGUCGCCGGUUCGAGUCCGGUCUUCCACCCCA
rnacentral:tRNA from 1 species